GAUGAACGCUGGCGGCGUGCCUAAUACAUGCAAGUCGAGCGAAUGGAUUAAGAGCUUGCUCUUAUGAAGUUAGCGGCGGACGGGUGAGUAACACGUGGGUAACCUGCCCAUAAGACUGGGAUAACUCCGGGAAACCGGGGCUAAUACCGGAUAACAUUUUGAACCGCAUGGUUCGAAAUUGAAAGGCGGCUUCGGCUGUCACUUAUGGAUGGACCCGCGUCGCAUUAGCUAGUUGGAGAGGUAACGGCUCACCAAGGCAACGAUGCGUAGCCGACAUGGGAGGGGGAUCGGCCACACUGGGACUGGGACACGGCCCAGAAUCAUACGGGAGGCAGCAGUAGGGAAUCUUCCGCAAUGGACGAAAGUCUGACGGAGCAACGCCGCAUGAGUGAUGAAGGCUUUCGGGUUGUAAAACUCUGUUGUUAGGGAAGAACAAGUGCUAGUUGAAUAAGCUGGCACCUUGACGGUACCUAACCAGAAAGCCACGGCUAACUACGUGCCAGCCGCCGCGGUAA
rnacentral:rRNA from 1 species